rnacentral:sRNA from 1 species
GUCCUGGGGAGCAAUGCAUGGCAGAGAUCAUCGUAGAACCGGAAACAUGGGAAUCCCAGGAACUAUGAAUCAGAUAUCUCCAUUGAAGAAACCGUUUUCUGGUAAUGUCAUAGCACCACCGAAAUUUACUCGCUCAACUCCAUCACUGACUCCAAAAUCUUGGAUUGAAGAUAAUGUGUUCAGAACAGACAACAAUAGUAAUACACUCUUACCCUUACAGGAUCGAAGUAGAAUGUAUGACAGUUUGAAUAUGCACUCUUUGGAAAAUUCCCUUAUCGAUAUUAUGAGAGCAGAGCAUGAUCCUCUUAAGGGUAGGUGACUUUUUAAAAAAAUAUGUUUAUAUUAUACACCAAUUUGCUUAUCUUAUUAGUUUUUAUAUGAAAGUGAACCCUAAGUAGCACCUAUAUCCAAUAGAAAACUCUGUUAUACAUUUAUUAAUAAGAAUCUUUGUUUUUAUGAAAUGCC